GCUCACUUCAGCAGAGUAUACACUGAACAUGUAAUUAUACAGAAAAGAUUAGUAUGGCCCCCUGUGCAAAGAUGACACUCACACUCAUGAAUUAUUCCACAUUUUU
rnacentral:snRNA from 1 species